GCGAGUGAAGUGGGAAAAGCUCAACUUUGAAAUCUGGCACCUUCGGUGUCCGAAUUGUAGUCUCAAGAAGUGUUUUCUGUGCUAGUCCAUGUAUGAGUCUGUUGGAACACAGCGUCAUAGAGGGUGACAACCCCGUUCAUGACAUGGAUACUAGUACUCUGUGAUACACUCUCGAAGAGUCGAGUUGUUUGGGAAUGCAGCUCAAAUUGGGUGGUAAAUUCCAUCUAAAGCUAAAUAUUGGCGAGAGACCGAUAGCAAACAAGUACCGUGAGGGAAAGAUGAAAAGCACUUUGGAAAGAGAGUUAACAGUACGUGAAAUUGUUGAAAGGGAAACGAUUGAAGUCAGACGUGCGUGAUGCGGUUCAGCUCUGGUUCGCCAGGGUGUAUUCCGUAUCUUUGCAGGCCAACAUCGGUUUUGUUAGUCGGAUAAAGAUUAGUUGAAUGUGGCAUCUUCGGGUGUGUUAUAGCUUCUAAUUGAAUACGAUUGAUGAGACCGAGGAACGCAGCGCGCCGCAGGCAAAGGUUCCGACCUUUUCGCGCUUAGGAUGUUGGUGAAAUGGCUUUAAACGACCCGUCUUGAAACACGGACCAAGGAGUCUAACAUGCUUGCGAGUGUUUGGGUGGCAAACCCAUACGCGUAAUGAAAGUGAAUGGAGGUGGGAUCCUUUACCGGAGCACCAUCGACCGAUCCGGAUUUUUAAUGAAGGGUUUGAGUAAGAGCACGUAUGUUGGGACCCGAAAGAUGGUGAACUAUGCCUGAAUAGGGUGAAGCCAGAGGAACUCUGGUGGAGGCUCGUAGCGGUUCUGACGUGCAAUCGAUCGUCAAUUUGGGUAUAGGGGCGAAGACUAAUCG
rnacentral:rRNA from 1 species